CAGAUGAGACACAAAUCGAUCCGGCUUCCGAACAACACGAUAUGAAACCCUGAAAUUUUUUUAUUUUUUCGAUAUUUUUCUUUUAGUUAGGAGCACCAAAGGAGUAACCACAUAAAAUUUGAGCUUAAACAAGUGAAAGACAUGGCCUGCGGAAUUUUCUGAAGAUUGUGAAAAAUGUGAAAAAAACAUCACGAGGUGAAAACUCAAAGUUCGUAGGAGAAUUUGGAGGUUCGAUUUUGAUAUAUGGAACAUUGAAAUCGGAGUUCGUAUGCGAAAGUUAUGGCUAUUUUACAAACGGACUCUGAAUUAGAGGACAAAACGAUCCGAAAGUGGAAAAAAUUUGCGGCGGUGGCUAGAAAUUGAUGGAAACGGUGGGGAAAAAGACAAGAACUGGACUCAAACAAGACCUAUCCAGCAACAAGACCUCAACCAGGACACAAACUCAAAACUGUAGACUCUAAAACUGAAAUAUGUGCUGCUAUGGCGCGGAAGGGUUGUAGGACAGGAAAACGAUAUGGCACUGGACUUAUGGCACGAACACAAGAACACUUGAAACAAAGCGUAGAUGUGAACCUAAUGGUAUACCUAAAGCUUUGAUUACCAUUUGAUGAGAACAAGGGUGACCUGAUCUUCCGAAAGGUUCUAGUAACUCUCGAUUUGGUGGAGACGAGACACAAAUCGAUUCGGCUUCCGAACAACACGAUCCGAAACCCAACAAUUUUUUUUAUUUUUUUAUUUUUCUUUUAGUUAGGAGCACCAAAGUAGUAACCACAGGAAAUUUGAGCUUAAACAAGUGAAAGACAUGGGCUGCAGAAUUUUUUGAAAAUUGUGAAAAAUGUGAAAAAAACUUCACGAGGUGAAAACUCAGACUUUGAGGGUGAAUUCAUAGGUUCUAAAAUUUUCAAACCUGCCAAUGGAGGAGACAGAGAGAUCUGAAAUUUUUUUCUGAUCGAUUUUGAUAUAUGGAACAUUGAAAUCGGAGUUCGUAUGCGAAAGUUAUGGCUAUUUUACGAACGGACUCUGAAUUAGAGGACAAAACGGUCCGAAAGUGGAAAAAAUUUGCGGCGGUGGCUAGAAAUUGAUCUAAAUGAUGGGGAAAAACACACGAACUGGACUCUAACAAGACCUAUCCAGCAACAAGACCACGACGAGGACACAAACUCAACACUGCGGACUCGGAAACUGAAAUAUGUAAAGGCUAUGGCGCGGAAGGUUGUAGGAUAGGAAAACGAUAUGGUACUGGACUUAUGGGAAGAACACAAGAACACUCGAAUUUAAGGGUAGAUGUGAAUGUAAUGGUAUACCCAAAGCUUUGAUUACAACUUGAUGAGAACAAGGGUGGCCUGAUCUUCCGAAAGGUUGUGGUAACUCUCAAUUUGGUGGAGUUGAGACACGAAUCGAUCCGGCUUCUGAACAAUACGAUCCGAAACCCCACAAUUAUUUUUAUUUUUUUGAUAUUUUUCUUUAACUAGGAGCACUAAAGAAGUAACCACAG
rnacentral:lncRNA from 1 species